rnacentral:rRNA from 1 species
AACGAACGCUGGCGGCAUGCCUAACACAUGCAAGUCGAACGAGACCUUCGGGUCUAGUGGCGCACGGGUGCGUAACGCGUGGGAACCUGCCCUUAGGUUCGGAAUAACUCCCCGCAAGGGGUGCUAAUACCGGAUCAUGUCUUCGGACCAAAGAUUUAUCGCCUUUGGAUGGGCCCGCGUUGGAUUAGCUAGUUGGUAGGGUAAAAGCCUACCAAGGCGACGAUCCAUAGCUGGUCUGAGAGGAUGAUCAGCCACACUGGGACUGAGACACGGCCCAGACGCCUACGGGAGGCAGCAGUGGGGAAUAGUGGACAAUGGGCGAAAGCCUGAUCCAGCAAUGCCGCGGGAGUGAUGAAGGCCUGAGGGUUGUAAAGCUCUUUUACCCGGGAUGAUAAUGACAGUACCGGGAGAAUAAGCUCCGGCUAACUCCGUG